CCAGUUUCUUGGUCCAGAAUCGCCAUGCCCAGACAUCUGCCGAGUGGAGGUCUGCAGUUAAGUGGCUUCAAUGAGCUGUUCUCUGGAUAGUUCAUUUAUGAGAUGUGAAAACCCCCCACCAAAUGAAAGAUGUUAGCUAAUUGAUGACCAUGAGCACAGCCACAGGCCUCCUGGAGCCUAGGAACUGAUAAUAUUAAGCUCUAACAUCACCCUGCUACCUCACCAUCAGUCAGUGGCAGAAUCCGUGUACAAGCUGAUCACAUACCCUGCAACCCCCCACCUUCCACCACCAGGUGCCUGGAGCUGCUGGCUUUUCCCUCCCAGGCAGGAGACCCCGAAGCUGCUCUGUCUCCCUCCCCUCUGUAGGCUGGGGAGGGCAUCUUUCGAUCCAUGGAUAAAGUCUCUCCUAUCAAGAUCAGUAUCUUCCUGAACAUUCCCAAAGGCCCUCUGAAGUAGAACUUAAUGAGGAUGGGCUUUGUCUUGGGUGGAGAGGUCUUCCGUAUCCCUUAAAAUUUCCA